GAAAGAUUGUUCUUGGCCCGCUAAGUCAAAGAUCCCGCGGUUAAAAUCCGUGGCACUUUCG
rnacentral:tRNA from 1 species